rnacentral:lncRNA from 1 species
AAACCAAAAACAAAUCAUGGGAAUCUCCAACAUGAAAAAAAGUUAAUUUGCUUGGCUCUAAUCAGCAUAAUGGUGAUUGUAGAGGUGAUCCAAAUCGAUGCGGCUAUGACGGUCCGUCCCGUAGAGGUUUCUGGUCUUACUUCUAAUCGUCAUCUUCUCCAUGAAACUGUUAAUGCCUAGAAACGUGGCUGCUCAAGACACACAGUGUGUCGGAAUUAAAGAAUGAUUAAUAAUAUGUGAUGGUAUUUUUCUCAUAUCAAAAUAAAAUCCUCUGCAUAUUAAUGCAAAAAUAUUAAUACUAUUUGUCUCUUUCUUUUACUUGACUUGGUUUAGCUUAAUCAAGAUUUAUGAUUUGGUUUUGCAUUUUGAAUCUUUGCUUUAUCCUAGAUUUAGUAAUUUUGAUACAAUUAUGAUGUGUAAAAUAUAAUAUAAUAAAUAUAAUUAAAAUAUAAUAUAAUAUAAUAUGAUAUAAGCAAAUAAUGGAAACAUAAUACUAUAAGAAGUAUAAUCAAAAUUAAUAUAAUAUAAAUUAUGAACUUAUAAAAAUUUGAAUUAUUAUAUUAUAUGUUAAACACAAUUAUUAUAUGUGACACUUUAUGUAAAUACGUAUAUUAUCAAAUCUCACCAAUGCAAUCAAUCGGUGAUAAAGAGUAUUAGUGGUGCCAGUUUAAUAUGUAUUAAGUUUUUUUCAAUCAAGAUGUAAAACAAAUAUUUAAGUAGUAUACAAUGAAAUACCAUAAAUAUAUGUCUUUAAAACAUAACAGCUAGUUUUUUUUCUUUUUGGUGGGGGACGUGGGGUGAAGGAAAAAGAGAAAAAGAUAAACGAAGGAAAAAGAGAAAAAGAGAGAGAGAGAGAGAGAGAGUUUUGUUUUUGUUUUUUUUUUUAUGUUUAAAUUGUUAUUAUAGAAUUGUUAUAAAUUUAUACGAAUAUUUAUUUGUAAUAGUUGGGAUAUAUUUAUUUAUUCAACAUUUUAUCUUUAUGUAAUUAUUUUUUAUAUGAUAUUUUUGUAACCUAUAAAUUCAUCUAAUGAUAUAACAUAUUUAUGUUCAUGUUUAUCAUCCAUAAUGAUUUUUUAAAAUUAUUUAGAUAAAUUUCAUAGUAAUUAAAUUUGAUAAUUUUAACGGAAUAUAUGAUUAUAGAUUGUGUUUCCAAAGGAUAAAUAUUCAUAUUUGGAUUUAUUUUUAUCUAUGAUAAUUAUAUUUUAUUGAUAUAAAACAAUUGCAAUUCCAUUUAAUUUGAUCAUAAAUACUUUUUGGAUGUCUUAUAAUAUAUAUUUGUACGUCAACUUUAUUAUCUAUAUUAAUUAUAUUUUAUUGAUAUAAAACAAUUGCAGUUUCAUUUAAUUUGAUCAUAAAUACUUUUUAGAUGUCUUAUAAUAUAUGUUCUUUGCUUUUACAAUUAUAAUUGUUACGGAAUUUCUUUCUUUAAAAUUGACGAGAUGAUCGUUGAAAAAUGAUUUUCCUAUGCCAACGGACAAAUCCGAAAGUAAAUCCCUAGAAAUGUUGUUGGGGUACAUGCAUUUUGACAGUGCUUUUAGUGAUGGAGAAAACCAUCAGUAUUGGAUGAAAGACAUUUAUCAACAUUUUUUACCGUCAGUAAAAUCUUAUUUAGGUCAAUGUUUUCAUCACGGUCUAAAGUUGUCGAAACAUCCCAUUCGCCCGUUGGUAUAAGAUUUGGUGUACUAUACUGAUAGGUUUUAGGAUUUUAUUGAUGAUAAUUUUUCAUCCAGAAAUAGCAUUUUUUUGUAGUGACUAUUUUAUUUUUAAAACCUUAUAUUUAAAGGAUUUGUCUUAACGCCCGCUAUAAAAUAGACAUAUUUAAACAAAUUAAUGUAAAAAAGCACUCGUGGAUUGAUAUAGAUUAUUUAAAUUAUUUAUUUUUUAGACCUACUUUUUGAAAUGUUCAUGUGUGUAUAUGUAACAUUUUAUCCUAAAUUUAUGGAUUCAAUUAAGUGUAAAAUUAAAUGACCAAAGCUAAGUUAGUAGUGAAUUAAAUUUUAUCUGUUCAUUAAGUUACUUGAUGGGUAUACCGUAUUAAAAGUUCAUCAUUAUAAAUUGGUCCUUGCUCUUCUUAUUAAGAUUACAUGUAACGCCCCCAAAAAAAUUGGUGCUUUGUACGGGAUUGUUUCGAUAAUCUUAGCCAUACUCAUUUUUAUGGGUUUAGUUAUUUUAAUACUAUUGAGAGUUCAUUAUGAGAAGAGAUUGUAUAAAACUAUGAUUCUAUGUCAUCCCUAUCUCUUUCUAAUAGGAGAAUGACAAAUCAUAUUUUUCUUUCUGAUUUGCAGUCUUUUCCUCCUAAAAAGUUCAAAUCCAACUAAGAAUGCUAAAAAUCAAGAGGAAAAAUCUGAUUUGUCAUACUCCUAUUGGAAAUAGAUAGUGAUGACGUGGAAUCACAUUUCAUACAAUACUUUCUCUAAAUGACAAAUCAGAUUUUUCUUCCUGAAAAAAUUCAAAUUCAACUAAAAAUACUAAAAAUCAGGAGGAAAAAUCUCAAAUUUUAGGGGAAAAAAUUAAAUUUAAGUAUUGUUUUAUAAUAUAAAAAAAAGGAAAAAGAAGUAUGAGUUAAAUGGUAAGACUCUUGGGCUCUUUCUUUUAUCUAUGAUAACAUAGAUGUGACGAAUGUAAUGACACCUUUUUCUAGGAGAAUAACAAAUCAUAUUUUUCCUCCUUAUUUUUAACAUUUUUAGUUGGAUUUAAAUUUUUCAGGAGGAAAAAUCUGAUUUGUUAUUUAGAGAAGGGAUUUAGCCUCUGUUUUGAUCUGCUUUCUUUUCAAGGGUAAGUGAUCAAAUUGCUGUUAAGGCUCAUAACUCGAUUUUGGUUACUAAUCGAUUAAGUUGAAUGUCAAUUUUAGGAACUGUUGUAUCAAGUUAUGAAUACCGAAUCCAAGUUUCGGUUCUGAUUUUUGGCAUUAAUUAGUUUAUUGCAUGACAUUUUAGGGACUGGAAGUGUGCCAUAGCUGUGUGUUUUAGAAAGUACUAGGUGUGUGGAAACAUAAAAAUAUAUGGACUUUUUCAGCACUUUUGAGCACUAAUUCAUGCAGUUUCUAAGUAUUUUUUUAUCGAAUUUUAUACUUUUAUUGUAAAAUAAUUAAUUUGCACUUAAUUUAUGAAACAUUUUGAAUUUUAAUUAUUUUUAUAAUAAUUUUGCAAAUUUUGGUCUAUUUUCGACAGUGUUGCACAAAGAGUACAGAAACAAUUUGGUAGUCACCACAGAAGAAUUAAUUUACGAGGCACCUUGGGAGCUGAAGACGAUGAAUUAACAACCUUGGAGGAUUUAAAUAUAUGCUUUCGAACUCUCGUAAAUCAGUUGUCCCAACUAAAUUUUUAUCGACGAAAAACGAAUAGGUUGAAGUAAAGAAAAUGGCCUGAAUUGAGCAAAUAAAGAGAGAGGAUGGACAAGCCUAGU